UACAGAGGGUGCGAGCGUUGUUCGGAAUUACUGGGCGUAAAGCGCACGUAGGCGGCUUUGCAAGUCAGAGGUGAAAGCCCGGGGCUCAACCCCGGAAUUGCCUUUGAGACUGCAUCGCUAGAAUUGUGGAGAGGUAAGUGGAAUUCCGAGUGUAGAGGUGAAAUUCGUAGAUAUUCGGAAGAACACCAGUGGCGAAGGCGACUUACUGGACACAUAUUGACGCUGAGGUGCGAAAGCGUGGGGAGCAAACAGG
rnacentral:rRNA from 1 species